CCACAGCUCAUGAUAAGACAAUCAUAAAUGUAAUACCUGUAAAUAAAGCGAGUAACACGGAUGACCAAUCAACAAAGCAAGAUCAGAGUCAAGGUGGAGGUCUUUUAAAGCCGUUAGAGGACGCAUUAGCUUUAUUACCACUUGGAAAGGCUUAAAUAUGUUUCUUUUCCUAUAGCAAAUUGUUAUUUAUUAUGAAGUUUAGAUCAACUAAACUUAUAUAUAUAUAAGGGAUAAUACAUUCGUUUUUCAUUGUGACUGGAAUGUGGGCUUUUGACUUAAGAUAUUUAUUGUAAUAAAUUAUGAUUGGACAAGGUGAUUUGUACUGUAGACAAUAUUAAACGAUUGUAAUGAAAACCAGGCAUUCAAAUUUACUUGACAGUACAUGAAGUUAAUUGAUAUAUGUUUAAACAGAGGUUCAUAAGUAAUAUUGUGAUUACUUUCGCAUUAUCAGUAUUUGUUAUUCAAUACUAAUAGAAGUCUGGUUUCAACUUUAACACGUUUUGAUUAAAAUAAAGGAUAAGGCCAUA